rnacentral:rRNA from 1 species
UACGUAGGGUGCAAGCGUUGUCCGGAAUUAUUGGGCGUAAAGAGCUCGUAGGCGGUUUGUUGCGUCGGCUGUGAAAACCUGAGGCUCAACCUCAGGCCUGCAGUCGAUACGAGCAGACUAGAGUGUUGCAGGGGAGACUGGAAUUCCUGGUGUAGCGGUGAAAUGCGUAGAUAUCAGGAGGAACACCGGUGGUGUAGACGGCUUUCUGGACAAUCACUGACGCUGAGGAGCGAAAGCCAGGGGAGCAAACGGG